CUUGAAAAGGUCGGCGGGAGGCGGGCCCGCUCGAUGAGGGCGCCGCCAUCUUGGGGAGGUGCGCGCGACCGGCGGCGAGGCGCCAUCUUGGGGAAGUGGCGUCGUUGCGGCGUGAGCCGCGUUGCUGUUCGGCAUCUCGUAGCGCUCCGCCGCUGCUGUCCGCGGCCGCUCUCCUCCGCGAAGCGCAGCCCGAGGAGGGCCCUCUCGUGGCGCUCUCCGGGCGUUACGCGCUCCGGCGCUGACUUCGCGAUGCUCCUCAGGCAGAAUUUCGGCGGGGCUGUUGGAGGUUUCCUCCAGCAGAGGGAGCGCUCUGACCGCGGAACUCAAACGCAGCCGGCGUUCCCGUAGCUUGUUUUAUCAAUAUACAUAUAAAACUCAAUGUUCAAAUUAACUAGUUCAAUAAGUAAUUUAGCUCAUUGAUUUUUGGGCAUAUCCUAAGUGCCAUUACAAGCUACGGAUAUUUUAAAUGCCAUUACCUAAUAAAAGGUGCUUAAAACAUUCCUUCUAUUGAUUUUAUUACUGCUUUAUUUUGCUGUCUUGGUUUAAAAUCAUUUUAACCGCUCUGUAAUCAAGAAGAAAUAUAUCGUUGGUGAAAUACAGUCAAUUUCCUAAAAACCUUUGACAUCGUUAAAUAAGGAAUUAGUUGUUAAAUCAUGUCAAGCAAUAACCGAGGGACAGAAAAGAUAUAAAGUUUGGAGCGGUGGGCCUGCAUACCGGUAAGCUGUUCUGACCUCUGGCAUUCAGACUGUGUGUGACAAUCGCACUUCAAUUCUGUUCUUGAUUCUUACAUCAGUCAGAAGAGAUUUAAAGUCUCAGCAUGCCAGGAAGGUUGUUGAAGGAUAACUGAGUAUGAUCUAGAGACAAUUAAGGGGCGUUUUAAUGACCUGCUGUGACUUUUUGUUAAAAUUACUCUCUAACUUAGCAUGUUUGAAGUUUCAUUUGCCGGAUUGUAUUGCUGGUAGUUUAGUGUAUUGAUGUUAUACACAAAAGGAGUAAAUUGAGUCUGCUCAUAGGGAUUUCAGUCACUUCCCUUCCCAG
ensembl:lncRNA